AAUUUUUAUCGCUGAGACUUAACUUAAUAAAUAAACCACAUCAUCGAGUCAUCCCUGCACUACGGGCCAAGGAUAUUCAUUAAAUCAUCAAUGGUCAUGACUAUACCGAAUAAUUCCUGGUCAUAAUCGUACCAAAAACUAUCCAUCAAUGCACUACAGGCUACUUAGGACUUUUACCACAUCAUUUAUAACAUUACAG
rnacentral:lncRNA from 1 species